rnacentral:rRNA from 1 species
UUAAAUCAGAAUACCACCCUGAAUGAGCCCAAUCCCGUCUGAUCUCGGAAGCUAAGCAGGGUCGGGCCUGGUUAGUCCUUGGAUGGGAGACCACCUAGGAAGACCAGGUGCUGUAGG